UCACUAGUUUUAGGGCGCCUCUCCAUUGGCAGGUCCUUUACUUCCAAAUAUACACAUACAUAUAUGAAUAUCGAAAAUUUCCGAUGAUCGAUUUAUAAAUGACCUGCCAAAGGAGAGUUGCCCUGAAACUGGUUC